GACGAACGCUGGCGGCGUGCUUAACACAUGCAAGUCGAACGGAAAGGCCCUGCUCUUGUGGGGUGCUCGAGUGGCGCACGGGUGAGUAACACGCGAGUAACCUGCCCUUGACUUUGGGAUAACUUCAGGAAACUGGGGCUCAUACAGGAUAGGAGCUCCUGCUGCACGGUGGGGGUUGGUAAGUUUCGGCGGUUGGGGAUGGACUCGCGGCUUAUCAGCUUGUUGGUGGGGUAGUGGCUUACCAAGGCUUUGACGGGUAGCCGGCCUGGGAGGGUGACCGGCGACAUGGGGACUGAGAGACGGCCCAGACGCCUACGGGAGGCAGCAGUGGAAAAUAUUGCACAAUGGGCGGAAGCCAGAUGCAGCAACGCCGCGUGCGGGAAAACGUCCUUCGGGUUGUAAACCGCUGUCGCCGGUGACGAAGCGUGAGUGACGGUAAUGGGUAAAGAAGCACCGGCUAACUACGUG
rnacentral:rRNA from 1 species